rnacentral:rRNA from 1 species
CGGCCGCGUCGACCAAGACCUCGCGCGAUUGGAGCGGCUGAUAUCAGAUUAGGUUGUUGGUGAGGUAAAAGCUCACCAAGCCGACGAUCUGUAGCUGGUUUGAGAGAACGACCAGCCACACUGGGACUGAGACACGGCCCAGACUCCUACGGGAGGCAGCAGUGGGGAAUUUUGGACAAUGGGCGAAAGCCUGAUCCAGCAAUGCCGCGUGCAGG